UACGAAGGGGGCUAGCGUUGUUCGGAAUCACUGGGCGUAAAGGGCGCGUAGGCGGCCGAUCAAGUCGGGGGUGAAAGCCUGUGGCUCAACCACAGAAUUGCCUUCGAUACUGUUUGGCUUGAGACCGGAAGAGGUUAGUGGAACUGCGAGUGUAGAGGUGAAAUUCGUAGAUAUUCGCAAGAACACCAGUGGCGAAGGCGGCUGACUGGUCCGGUUCUGACGCUGAGGCACGAAAGCGUGGGGAGCAAACAGG
rnacentral:rRNA from 1 species